rnacentral:lncRNA from 1 species
UAGGCUCUGGGAUGAUGCUGGGGAGGAAAAUACAGCCCCUCUGAGUGGACACGGCACGUGGGCUUUCACCAGCAGACGCCCAGCGUGGUCCCCAGCACAUCAGUUCGGCUCUCCCCAGACUCUAAGCAGGGGUUAAAACACGCAUAUCAACAGCAGACCAUUUAUUUCUGAGUCAUCAACACCCGGCCUGAUGCAGGCUCUCUUCUGUGGAAGACGGACAGGAUGCCGAGAGAAAGGUUACCUGCCGUGGACUUUC